rnacentral:rRNA from 1 species
GACGAACGCUGGCGGCGUGCUUAACACAUGCAAGUCGAACGGAAAGGCCUGCUUUCCCUUGUGGAUUGCGGGUACUCGCGUGGCGAACGGGUGAGUAACACGUGAGUGAUCUGCCCCCAACUUGGGUAUAAGCCUGGGAAACUGGGUCUAAUUCCCGAUAGGACUGCAGGGUGGUGCCUGUGGUGGAAAACGAUUUUCUAGUGGUUGGGGAUGAGCUCGCGGCCUAUCAGCUUGUUGGUGGGGUAAUGGCCUACCAAGGCGGCGACGGGUAGCCGGCCUGAGAGGGUGGACGGCGACAUUGGGACUGGGAUACGGCCCAGACGCCUACGGGAGGCAGCAGUGGGGAAUAAUGGACAAUGAGCGGAAGGCUGAUGCAGCGACGCCGCGUGGGGGAUGACGGCCUUCGGGUGGUAAACUCCUUUCGAGCGCGAGGAAGCCACCUGGUUGGAAGGGUGGUGACGGUAGUGGUAGAAGAAGCACCGGCUAACUACGUG